rnacentral:rRNA from 1 species
GAGUUUGAUCCUGGCUCAGGAUGAACGCUAGCGGCAGGCCUAACACAUGCAAGUCGAGGGGUAACAGGGAAGAGCUUGCUCUUUCGCUGACGACCGGCGCACGGGUGCGUAACGCGUAUACAACCUACCUUUUGGAGGGGAAUAGCCCAGGGAAACUUGGAUUAAUGCCCCAUAGUAUGGGAAUAUCUCCUGAUAUUUUCAUUAAACAUUUAUGGCCAUUAGAUGGGUAUGCGUCCUAUUAGUUAGUUGGUAAGGUAACGGUUUACCAAGGCAGCGAUAGGUAGGGGUCCUGAGAGGGAGAUCCCCCACACUGGUACUGAGACACGGACCAGACUCCUACGGGAGGCAGCAGUGAGGAAUAUUGGACAAUGGGCGAGAGCCUGAUCCAGCCAUGCCGCGUGCAGGAAGACUGCCCUAUGGGUUGUAAACUGCUUUUACAGAGGAAGAACCACUCCCACGUGUGGGAGUUUGACGGUACUCUGCGAAUAAGGAUCGGCUAACUCCGUGCCAGCAGCCGCGGUAAUACGGAGGAUCCAAGCGUUAUCCGGAAUCAUUGGGUUUAAAGGGUCCGUAGGCGGGCAGUUAAGUCAGUGGUGAAAGUCUUC